rnacentral:rRNA from 1 species
CCAGAUCAUAUUGAAGCACCACUUCCCAUAUGAUCAUCAAAGUUAAGCAACAUCAAGCCUGGUCAGUACUUAGAUGGUUGACUGCUUGGGAAUACCAGGUGCUGCAAG